rnacentral:lncRNA from 1 species
GCAGUCCAGAUCAAACCAUCAAUUUUUCAAUUGUUCCAUGCACCCAAAGUGAUUAUGACAACCUGCUGCUUUAGCUUUUUCAGAAAUGCAGACUCUGCGUGUGGUUUUAGCAACUUUGGGAAUUGGAGCUGUUUCUGCUGCCGGCACUGGUUCUGCUCUCCACCAAAUUGAGCUCCUCCCCACU